UCAUCUGAGUUUCCAUUACUAAUGGGGAAAUUUGCUUUGAUAUACAGGUGCUUUGGAUUACAAGCAUGUUUCUGGAAUGAAUUAUGCUCACAAACCAAGAUUUUACUGUAUAUUGUAUGUACGCUCUAUGUUUUGUUUUUAAGUAAUCUCUACACCCAACGUGGAGCUCAAAUUUAAAACCCCAAGAUCAAGAGUCGCAUGUUCCAACGCCUGAGCCAGCCAGGCGCCCCGUAUCUGUCCUCUUUCUAUUCCAAGAUGCCAUCCAGGACACCAAGUUACACUUCUCUGCUGUUGGAACCUAAGUGCCAAAUACGUCUACAUCCUGACAGCAGUUCCUAUCAUAAUAUAUGCUACAGAGACUGUGGUGGAAAAUUUUAUGCCAUCAGAAUCCCAUCUUCAGGAUCCAUGAUGCUAUUGCUUAACUGACUCUUUUUCCUGGGUCCCUCACAUCGUCAGGUUCUAUCUGCAGGGAUCUUUUUGCUGAAAGCCUUGGAAAGGAAGUUGAGAUAGUGCCCCCACAUUAACAGAAAACUGAAAAGAAGAUAAGAUUUUAGAGUUUUCUCUUUUAAAUCUUUCUAUAGUCAGUUUGACACAUAAAAGUUAUAUUUGGACACUAUAUUAAUAACUUUCAGUAAGAAAACAUAAUUGCAUUCUAAAAGAUCAAUUACAUAAGCCUCAAAGAACCAACUUGUCAUGGUGAAAACCACUUAUUUUUUUUCUCUCAUAGUCAUUUUUUAUAUUAUACAAAAUAUACUUAGCUCUUAAUGGCAACACUUUUACUUCUUUCUAUGAUAAUUUGUAUAUAUUACUUAAUUUUUGCAUGACAUUUUAACGAGAGUUGCAGAUCUCAUUCCCAUAUAAGAAUAACGUAUUAUCAUGUGAAAUAACAAAAUGUAAGUGGACUGAAACAAAAACUCAGUUUCUGGACUCAGUUUCAGGGAUGAUGGAGUACACAUACUUUUCCUUAUUCUUCUUUUUAAAUACAACGAGAAACCCUGGGCGCUAUACAUAAAACAAACAUAAGGAGCCUCUGAAAGAUGAAAGACAAGAAGACACGCCGUCUAGAGACCUCGGAACCUGAAGAAUGACAUGCUGACCAGCGCCUUAGCUUCUCUUCUUGCCCGUGAGCCCCAGCCUAAGUACUAGAGACCCUGGCGUUAUCGAGUUGCCAAUGGGCUCAGGCAAAGAAAGCCUCAAGAAAAGCCAGCUCUCACUAGUAAAGAAGCAGGUGAAGAGCAGCCUGGCAAACAGAAAAACUCCACUCCGGCAAACCAAGUAAAAGCCUCAGUCCCUCUCCCACCUCCACCAGCAAAGGUGGAGGGGAGAGACCAGAUUUCUGUUCCCUGCCAAAAUGGCGUCAGAGACGAUCAUGUGGGAAGACAGCCCCGGUCCCACCUGACCUCCCCACUUUCAUGGUAUCAGUGGACCUCUACCCUUCCCCUUCUUUGUUUGGGGGGGUGGGAUGUGGGGAACGUGUCAGAGGCCAUGUAGUGGAGAAGCAGGACUUCCUCCAACAUUUAGUGGCAACAAGGCCACCCCACUACAGUGACAGUAGAGAUAGUAAUGAGAAGUAAUGAGGUGCCCUUCCCUCUCCCAGCCAGGACAGUUUAAGUUCCACAGUUAAAGCCUAGUGGAAAGCCUGAUUUCCUAGUCUCUCCCAGUAGCACCAGGAAGCCCCUUCUCAUUUAUAUGUGACACCACAAGGUGUCAGUGAAGGUCAGUAGGAGAAUCUAAAUGUCCAUACCUACCUACCAUUAGCUUUUCAGCCUGAUGAAAUUGCUGCUGAACAUCUGUGUGCAACCUAGAGGCUGGAUGGAGGUCACCACACAGAUCCUCAUGGGUACCAUCUGCUCCUAACAUACUACUUUCUUUAGGAGAAACCUAUCUAGUCCCUUCCAGGUAAUAUAUCCUAGCCCCUCACAAUACAACAUAAUCACCAUGGCCAACAAUAUCACUCUAAGGGAAAGAAUACAAGAAGUCAUUACUAAAUAAAAAACUAAUUCUGGGCA
ensembl:lncRNA